CCUACGGGAGGCUGCAGUCGAGAAUCAUUCACAAUGGGGGAAACCCUGAUGGUGCGACGCCGCGUGGGGGAAUGAAGGUCUUCGGAUUGUAAACCCCUGUCAUGUGGGAGCAAAUUAAAAAGAUAGUACCACAAGAGGAAGAUACGGCUAACUCUGUGCCAGCAGCCGCGGUAAUACAGAGGUCUCAAGCGUUGUUCGGAAUCACUGUGCGUAAAGCGUGCGUAGGCUGUUUCGUAAGUCGUGUGUGAAAGGCGAGGGCUCAACCCGCGGACGGCAGAUGAUACUGCGAGACUAGAGUAAUGGAGGGGGAACCGGAAUUCGCGGUGUAGCAGUGAAAUGCGUAGAUAUCGAGAGGAACACUCGUGGCGAAGGCGGGUUCCUGGACAUUAACUGACGCUGAGGCACGAAGGCCAGGGGAGCGAAAGGGAUUAGAUACCCCAGUAGUC
rnacentral:rRNA from 1 species